rnacentral:rRNA from 1 species
GAUGAACGCUGGCGGCGUGCCUAAUACAUGCCAGUCGAGCGAACAGACGAGGAGCUUGCUCCUCUGACGUUAGCGGCGGACGGGUGAGUAACACGUGGAUAACCUACCUAUAAGACUGGGAUAACUUCGGGAAACCGGAGCUAAUACCGGAUAAUAUAUUGAACCGCAUGGUUCACUAGUUAAAGACGGUUUUGCUGUCACUUAUAGAUGGCUCCGCGCCGCAUUAGUUAGUUGGUAAGGUAACGGCUUACCAAGGCGACGAUGCGUAGCCGACCCGAGGGGGUGAUCGGCCACACGGGAACUGAGACACGGUCCAGACUCCUGCGGGAGGCAGCAGUAGGGAAUCUUCCGCGAUGGGCGAAAGCCUGACGGUGCAACACCGCGUGAGUGAUGAAGGUCUUCGGAUCGUAAAACUCUGUUAUUAGGGAAGAACAAAUGUGUAAGUAACUAUGCACGUCUUGACGGUACCUAAUCAGAAAGCCACGGCUAACUACGUG